rnacentral:lncRNA from 1 species
UCAUCUCAACCCUAGGCCCGCCAUUCUUAUCAUCAGAAAAGCUUCAAUAUCCACCAAUCUCACCAUGAAAUCACCACCACAAACCCCUUGUCAAUAUCCCUCAAAUGUAGCCUAAGUCACAGGAUACGAGCCCUAAAUCCCAAAUGGCCGACAUUGUCAAAUUUUUGCUUCUUCAACUCUCUUCGUGGAUUUUCGGCAUAUAUUUUAGUCAAAACUUACAUUAGUUAAUGGUUGUAUCGAAAGUCGUUAAUUAAUGUGAGUUUUGAUCCAUUUCGAAUUCGUCGAGGUACGGGCAAGGUCCCUUUGGAUGGUUGGAGUGGGCUCGAGUUCGACUCUUCGUCUUCAGAGACGAUAUUUUCUUUCACUCGGACUGAUAAUUUCACCUUUUCUCAUACCUCAACCCCGUCUGUUUUUUUAGUUUUCUCAGCCAUGUUUCAUUGACAAAAUUUAGCUAAAUAGUUUGACAAUCUGUUGGGUUCUUAUUGCUCGUAGUUUGCACUCGAAUCUUAUUUUUCGCCAUCUUUCGAUCUCGCUUUCAUGAAUAAGUAAACUUCUUAGGGUUCUGUGUGAUUUUGGUUUGAUAUCAUUUUGGUUCUGAUUUUUGUCAAAGUGAUGUGUGAUUCCAGUUUAAGAAUUUCGUAAGUUGGUGUUCGAGGUUUUAGAUUUUGAUUAGUUUAGUCGGCUGAUGAUGUGAUCAUUCUGGCUUCAUAGUGAUUCUUGUUAUUGAUUAAUUCCUUGUUAACAGAUAGCAAUAAGGGGCAAAUAUGGAAAUCAGUAGGUUGGUCUGAAAUUUGUUAAUUGGUUAGUUUAACCACAUCUACUUAGAAAGGUUGAGUUAGCUAGUAAUUUCAGGGGAAGUGAUAAUAGGCGAAAUCUGGGUGAUUUAGCCAUUGUUUAGGCCUCUACUUGAUUAUAUUCCAAUUGUAUAUUAUGCUUAAUUGAUAAAAGAUGGGCUCUAAUAGUGAAUAGUACUCAUUGCAGGUUAAAGAGCCUAUUUUGCGCAAGAAAACGUUGAUUGGAAUCAUUCGUGAGCAAUUGAGACCCCUCAGGACUAAAUGGGAUCGAAGAGAACUCAAGAAAAUGAGAGAGAGGCAAGAGGCAAGGAGAAUUCUGGAUCAUCAAAGUUUUCUUUUCUUCUCUUUGUUUUUGACAAUUGUGAUGAUAUUGAACCUGAUUAUGUUGAUCAAUAGUUUGAGUGGCUAGAACUCAUUGUUCUAGGGUCAUGGGUAAAACAUGAAUAUUGUAGUUUGAAGUUUGAUUCGACGAAGUCGGAUUAUCAUAUUGAGUUAUUUAUUUAAUUCUGAUUUUAAUUAUUUUGCUGAGUAGCUAACAGUGAAG